CAACAGGUGUCUUGACAGCAGCAGAAAAGGAGCUCGACAUGUCUUUCAACAACGACAACAACAACAAAGCAGUAGGAACUCACCUUGGGACUCGGGAGGAGAUGCGUCGCUGCCAUCCUGGUCCGCCAUUUCUCCUGACGUCACCACAGCUGAGAGGGAUCAGCUGCAGGAGGAACCGGAGAGAGGACCGGAGAGAGGGACCUGCUACCGGGCAAUGAUCCGAGACUAGGCCGGGCAACCUCCCACUAGGCCGGGCACCCUCCCACGGACAGACUGUGCAGGUUUACCCCCCCCUCUGGACCCCCGGUAAAAUGGCUACUGAUUGGUGCAGGGACAACUGAAACCAUGGCAACCAGCUGUUUGGCAAUUCCUCUGAUGGAGGAGGUGGAGGGAGGAGAUACUGGCC